GCAUAAUCACUUGCCUUUUAAUUUAAGGCUAGAAUGAAAGGAUCAACGAAAUUCUCCCUUUAUUAAUUUUACUUCUUAAAACCUGAACUUCAGGUGAAGAUGCCUGAAUCUAUUUAAAAGACAAGAAGACCCUAUAGAGUUUUAGUAACUCUCUUCACUAUACAACCUUAUUACUUUAAUUGGGGCGAUUAAGGAUUUCACCUUACAUCCUAACUUCUAAACGAUUAUAAAUUUCUAUAUUACCUAUCCUCUUCAAGAGAACUUAAAAUCAACUACCUUAGGGAUAACAGGCUUAUCUUCCUAACAAGUUCAAAUUAACAGGAAGGUUUGGCACCUCGAUGUUGGCUUAGAGUAACCUGAUAAAGCAAAAAUUAUCUUUGGUUAGUUCGUUCAACUAAUAAUCCUCU
rnacentral:rRNA from 1 species